UGGGUUGCGGCUCAGUGGUAGAGCGCUCGCCUCACAUGUGCGACACCCUGGGUUCAAUCCUCAGCACCACAU
rfam:Ictidomys tridecemlineatus contig036309, whole genome shotgun sequence.